CCGGCCUGGACAGUGGGCCGGUGCGUGAUCGUGGGCUCUUGAUCUCCGCGUCUUGAGGAAAGAGGGCCACGGGGUCUGCAUUGGCCCAGGAGGGCUGGAAACCAGGGAGAAGCUGAGGCGAUUCCAUCAGGCUUGGCAAGAGCCGCUGGGGCCUUUGGAGGUGGCCCUAGGAGACGAAAGCACCGGUGUGAGAUAUGCGCAUGCGCAUGACCGCCUAUGUCGGUAUGUUGACUAGACCCACUGAGUCAUGGCAGCCAGAGCAGGGGUGCCAACCUGAGUGACACAGAUCCCAAGACUACGAGGUCAUCUGGGUGGUUCUGUUGGUCUGGACCAGGCUUUGUUGAUCUCAGCUGGACUCAUGCAGGCGUCCAAAACAGCUGUGGGUCAGAUGACUUCAAUUCAGGGCCCCACCAAGAAAGCUGGAGGUUUUUUACCUCUGUCGUUGCAUCAUCCACACAGAAUCCCAGAACACAGUACGCCUUCAGGAUUUGUGCCCCAGCAGCAAGGCAGGGAUGGGAGCUGUGAGUAGGAACCUGAGAGCCACCAGGUUCCUACUUUGCCAUGUGGAAGAGGCCAUCCCUGGCUGGAGGUAGCCAUCCAUCCAUGUGGGAAGAAGCAAUGGAGGUCACCUUUAGAGGGAGGCACAACUAUGAAGAGAAGAAAAGCACAGUGAUAUUUUUGGAUCUGUGGAAGCCAGUUUUAUCCCAAAGGUUGGUGUAACAUGAACCAAUAAUAAUAAUUACUAUUAUCAUUAUUUUUGCUGAAACUCAUUUGAAUUGAGCUUCUCUUACUUGCAACUAAUAAA